rnacentral:misc_RNA from 1 species
UGGAUGGAGACUUGGACCGAG